GAAUAUGGGGGGACCAUCCUCCAAGGCUAAAUACUCCUGACUGACCGAUAGUGAACCAGUACCGUGAGGGAAAGGCGAAAAGAACCCCGGCGAGGGGAGUGAAAAAGAACCUGAAACCGUGUACGUACAAGCAGUGGGAGCACGCUUAGGCGUGUGACUGCGUACCUUUUGUAUAAUGGGUCAGCGACUUAUAUUCUGUAGCAAGGUUAACCGAAUAGGGGAGCCGAAGGGAAACCGAGUCUUAACUGGGCGUUAAGUUGCAGGGUAUAGACCCGAAACCCGGUGAUCUAGCCAUGGGCAGGUUGAAGGUUGGGUAACACUAACUGGAGGACCGAACCGACUAAUGUUGAAAAAUUAGCGGAUGACUUGUGGCUGGGGGUGAAAGGCCAAUCAAACCGGGAGAUAGCUGGUUCUCCCCGAAAGCUAUUUAGGUAGCGCCUCGUGAAUUCAUCUCCGGGGGUAGAGCACUGUUUCGGCAAGGGGGUCAUCCCGACUUACCAACCCGAUGCAAACUGCGAAUACCGGAGAAUGUUAUCACGGGAGACACACGGCGGGUGCUAACGUCCGUCGUGAAGAGGGAAACAACCCAGACCGCCAGCUAAGGUCCCAAAGUCAUGGUUAAGUGGGAAACGAUGUGGGAAGGCCCAGACAGCCAGGAUGUUGGCUUAGAAGCAGCCAUCAUUUAAAGAAAGCGUAAUAGCUCACUGGUCGAGUCGGCCUGCGCGGAAGAUGUAACGGGGCUAAACCAUGCACCGAAGCUGCGGCAGCGACGCUGAUGCGUUGUUGGGUAGGGGAGCGUUCUGUAAGCCUGCGAAGGUGUGCUGUGAGGCAUGCUGGAGGUAUCAGAAGUGCGAAUGCUGACAUAAGUAACGAUAAAGCGGGUGAAAAGCCCGCUCGCCGGAAGACCAAGGGUUCCUGUCCAACGUUAAUCGGGGCAGGGUGAGUCGACCCCUAAGGCGAGGCCGAAAGGCGUAGUCGAUGGGAAACAGGUUAAUAUUCCUGUACUUGG
rnacentral:rRNA from 1 species